rnacentral:rRNA from 1 species
UACGUAUGGGGCAAGCGUUAUCCGGAUUUACUGGGUGUAAAGGGAGCGCAGGCGGCCUGGCAAGCCUGAUGUGAAAUACCGGGGCCCAACCCCGGGGCUGCACUGGGAACUGCCAGGCUGGAGUGCCGGAGAGGCAGGCGGAAUUCCUAGUGUAGCGGUGAAAUGCGUAGAUAUUAGGAGGAACACCAGUGGCGAAGGCGGCCUGCUGGACGGUGACUGACGCUGAGGCUCGAAAGCGUGGGGAGCAAACAGG